ACCUCGGAUCAGGUAGGGAUACCCGCUGAACUUAAGCAUAUCAAUAAGCGGAGGAAAAGAAACCAACAGGGAUUACCUCAGUAACGGCGAGUGAAGCGGUAACAGCUCAAAUUUGAAAGCUGGCUCUUUUAGGGUCCGCGUUGUAAUUUGUAGAAGAUGCUUCGGGUGUGGCCCCGGUCUAAGUUCCUUGGAACAGGACGUCAUAGAGGGUGAGAAUCCCGUAUGUGACUGGGUGCUUUCGCCCAUGUGAAGCUCUUUCGACGAGUCGAGUUGUUUGGGAAUGCAGCUCAAAAUGGGUGGUAAAUUUCAUCUAAAGCUAAAUAUUGGCCAGAGACCGAUAGCGCACAAGUAGAGUGAUCGAAAGAUGAAAAGCACUUUGGAAAGAGAGUUAAACAGUACGUGAAAUUGUUGAAAGGGAAGCGCUUGCAACCAGACUUGCGCGCUGAUGAUCAUCCGGGCUUCUGCCCGGUGCACUCGUCUGCGCUCAGGCCAGCAUCGGUUUCGGUGGUGGGAUAAAGGCCUUGGGAAUGUGGCUCCUCUCGGGGAGUGUUAUAGCCCUCGGUGCAAUGCCGCCAACCGGGACCGAGGACCG
rnacentral:rRNA from 1 species